AUGCCUGGAACUGGGAUUACAAACAGCUGUGAACUGCCACCUAGGGCCGGGUCACACACCUUCUUCAUGAUGGCGGAGAUGAAGACGCUCCAAAGAGACAUUUGUGUCUUUCCUUUUGUUCCGGCGGGGCAGAACUUCUGCAACCACCCGGGGAACCGGAAGUGGCUCCAUUAUUGCAUCUUGAGACCCAUUGCCCAAGCCAAGAAUUGGCCAGAUUCCUCAGGCCGGCUCCCACCACCCAUCACUUCUUCAGGAAUCUGGUGGAACUCCUGCCUCCCAGUGAUACAGGGCAGAAAAACUAAUUGUACAAGAGUUGUUUUCAAGAACAGAACUGUGUUUCGGAACCAAAAAACGUGUCCUGACCGAAGACAUUCCCACAAUUCUCUCCCCGACUUUGCAGACAGCCUCUCUCCUGGGCAGAUUGAUGCCUUCCUGGUCUUCUCUGUCUCCCUAUUUCCCCAAGAACCCUGUCCUUUCAGUCAAACCCAGGGCCUCUUAACAGGCUGCUUGUUUCUAGUCUUCAGGCAUUUCUUUGCUGUCCCCUCGGAUAUUACAGUGUCCCUUCAUCUUCUGCUUGGGGCAGGCCUUUAGCUCUGAUGUCCCUCCCUUGUCACCUCUGUAUAGACCUUGUGGCAGUGGUGUGGAUAAACUGUUUUUUAAAGACAGGGUCUCUCUAUGUUGCACUAGCUGUCCUGGAACUCGCUCUGUAGACCAGGCUGGCCUUGAGCUCACAGAGAUCUCCCAACUCUUCCUCCCGAGUGUUGGGAUUAAAUGCGUUUUUUUUGGGGGGGGGGCAGGAUAUCUUGUAGCCCACGCUGGGCGCUGGGCUCCCUGUGUAGCAGAGAUGACCUCCUUGAGAUUCUGAGCCUCCUGCCACUACUUCCUGAGUGCUGGUGCUUCAGAUGUAAGCCUCCAUGGAUGAUGCUAAUGAUUGAACCCAGGACUUUUGCAUGCUAGGUAGGCAAGCACUCUACUGACAGAAAUAUAUCCUUGGUCCCCAGGAGGGCUAAUCUCUUCAUGUAUUUGUGCGGAGUUGGUUUGAGGGCAAGAACAGGGUAGAACUUUCUGUAGGCAGCUCUUGGGUGUGAUACAGUAGGUGCUCAGUACUGACUUUGGAGGAUUCUCAAACUGGAUGUGACAUUUGAAAGCACUCAGUCUAGGAAAGGGACAGAAAGAGGGAAGGAUGAAGGAAUAAGACAUAAACAGGAAAGGUCAGGUAAAAGUAGAGAUUCAGGUACUCCAAGCAGUGCCUAGCACACAGUAGGAACACAAAAUAUGCUUUACGUGGCUAACUGGUGCCUCUGUUCGUUACUGCUGGACCAAUCUUUUGGUGAUGAUUGUGGGUAGGAAGAGGGGCUGCACCUCUGUUGGCAGCCAUCCCAGAGAGACAGAUGCUGGCCCACUCGAAUCGUGUGAUUUAAGAGAGCGUAGAUGCAUAGAAACAAACAGGAAAACAAAUUUGUUCAAGGACCAAGGUUUUCUCCACAUCCCCAGGGGAACCAAUAACAAAAUGUACUGCAGCUAUUGCAGGGCAGAGCAUGGUGCCCAGAGGGAGGACUUCCCAGGCAGGGGAGCCUCGGGUGUCAGGGUGUGACUUGGGAGCCUCAGGAGUCAGGGUGAGACUUGGGACUCAGGAUGGGGCUGGAGCCACUGCCUCCUGCAAGAUCUGUGCCUGUAGCUUUCCUGUGAUUUUCAAAUGUGUGUGAUGGAAGCCGCUAAUGGGGGAUCCUUCAGGAGAGGAGGGCUCAGACUUGAGAGCUGGCCAGAGUGGGGCCCAAUUUGCCUGUCAGGGCCAGUCUAUCUGUGAAGCCUGGAGGGUGGACGAGAGUCCUGGGCUGGAAGCUGAGGCACCUAGGAGAGCCAGCUGCACUGGUAGAAGGGCCUGAGAGGGGAUCUCAGACAGGGCUGGAGGCAGGGGGUGGGGCUGUGAGUCCGGCCUGUAUUUCUAGUCUUACACCCUUCUUGCUUUCAUCUGCCUGCUGGUCUUGGGCCUGACGCUCAAAGGGUCUGCUGCAGGGCAAAGCAGGGAUGGAGACCCCCCCUCCCCCGUGGGACCCCUGAAGAUCCAUUCAUUUGGAUUUCUCUCGUCAGUGUUCAGAGGCAUCCGAGUGGAGCAAAGAGCUGACCCCCCACUCAGAUAGGCAGAGAGGUAGUGUCUAUACAGUGUGACCUGAAGGAGCUGAGAAGACUGCCUGGCACCUGCCUGGGACAAUUGAAGGGCUCCCAGCAGGACGGACAGAGGGAAUGGUUAGCCUGUUGAAACUGGGUGCCCUGGGAAUGUUGGGAAAUUCUGUGUGGUCAAAGUAGAAUUGAUCCUCCCGAUUCCCACUUGUGCUAGAGUCAUCUCCCGACUCCUGGUUUCCAAUCCCUAAGGCUGUGCGUGUGGUGGGGAGAGCCAAGCAUCCUGGCUCCCUCCCUUGCUGUCUGGGCUGUGGGCGCAGUGUCCGCUCGUCACCACACGGGGGCGCUGAGUCUGCGGCUGGAGAGUGACUGGCAAGGAAUCUGCCUUGUGGCUCGAAACCUAAAUCUCAGGCUUAUAAAUUGUGGAUGCGAUUGGUGUAGUAUUUCAUACCUAGAGGAGUGCUUUCUUAGUUCCCGUCACACUUAGUCUCCAGGAAGUCCCCAGGAGGCCCAUGCCUUUGGCUGCCAGCAUAGCAGGCCUUUAAGCCUGUCUUGUGGGAGCUGUCCAUAAACCUCCCAGAAGCUCAGCGCAGAGAGAGCUUGGGGUUCUCCGUGAACUCGCAGGCUACCUGGAAGAGUCAAUGGAACUUGGAAGGGAGAGGAGAGUGGGGGAGGAGAGAGGGGCUGUUUUUUCAGGGAUCUAAGAUGGGAAACGUAAACCGGGUACUGAGUACCUCCCUUCCCGUCCCUACAGUCUUCAUGACUCACAGGUGGCCAUGGGAUCCAGGCAGGCACAACCAGCUGUUGAGCCAAGUGCCCGAAAACAAGGUUAGUAGGAUGUAGUGAUGCCUCUUGAACCCAGCACGAUUUUGAUAUUAUUAUUAUUAUUAUUUUGAGAUAGAAACUCAUGUAGCCCAGGCUGUCCUCAAACUUGCUAUGCAGGAGAGAGUAACCCUGAAAUUCUCAUCCUGUGUCUUCCACCUCCUGAGUACUGGGAUUACAGACAAAUAACACCAUACCGAGUUUGCGGUGCUGGGGUUUUAUGCAUGCAGGGCUUCUAGGCCUGGAACUCAGCAUGACUGGUGACUGUUUCCAGACCAGAUCCUUGUCUCUGGGGCUAGGGGUGAGGCUGUUUGGAAUGUUGGGGGAUUUUAGCAGUAUCCCUUGUUUGCACCCAGUUGAUGCUGGCUCUCCACAAUCCUGAGGAAUAAAAAUGCCGGUGCACACUGCCCGAUGUCCCCACAGGGCCGAAUCUGUCUCGUUGGAAGUCUCCAGGGCUGGAAGGUCAAAGCCAAGGGAAUAUUCUUUAUUUUCAAGAAUACUCUAUUCUGAGCCAGGUGGUGGUGCACACCUUUAAUCCCAGCACUUGGGAGGCAGAGGCAAGUGGAGUUCCAGACCAGCCUGGUCUAAAAGAGCUAGUUCCAGGACAGCCUCCAAAGCCACAGAGAAACCCUGUCUCGAAAAACCAAAAAUAAACAAGUAAAUAAAUAAUGAAAUAAUAAAUAAAUAAAAUACUCUAUUCUGGAUCAUUCCCCUUUUGCUACUAGGGCUGGAACCCAGAGCCUUGCACGUGCUCGGCCGACACUCUGCUUGUGAACUACAUUGGUGACGCCCCAGUCCCUUGGCCAGGUUAUUUCUGAGCCCAGAUCACUGUUAUUGUUUUGUAUUUGACUCAUGGUCUGGUUAAGUAGCCCUGACUCAACCUGGUACUUGCUAUGUACUUCAAGCUGAUUUUCAAACUCCC
ensembl:lincRNA